UGAUUUAUACAAGCUAAGACCCUACUAUAAACCUUCGAUAAACGUAUAUUAGCAAGAAACAUGGCCGACUUUGAUCAGUUGACGUUUGCAAUGACAUUUGAUUUCUAAUACAUAUCCGACAUUGCAAUUUUUGUUGAAAUAAAUCUUACGUAUUUUCCUAAAUAUGCAAGCAUUACAAGCCCUGGAAAGUAUUGCGGUCGUUGAAAAUGAUGUCAUUAAUCGGCGCAGAAAAGUGUAUCGGUCAAGAGGGAAUCCAUUUUCUUUGGACGAUGAAGAAUUCCGGAAACGAUAUCGGUUUUCAAAAAAAACGGCUACUUUUAUUAUAAAUUUAGUCCGGGAAGACUUGAAGCUGAGCGCUAAAGGUUGUGGUACCUCACCAGAGUUGCAAGUAUUGACGGCAAUAAGAUGUUGGGGACGUCGUGAGGUUCAAGAAGAUGCUGGAGACCUUCAUGGAUUAUCUCAAGCUACUACUAGCCGUAUAUGCAACAGGGUGGCGCGGGCGCUAGCACGACAUUCAUCAGAGUUUAUAAAGAUGCCUACAUCUCUUGCAGAAGAACAGAAGCUGAUGAUGGAAUUCCGCCAAAUAAGGAACUUCCCAUCGAUAAUUGGCUGCAUUGAUUGUACCCAUAUUAAAAUAAAAAAGCAUGGUGGUGAUUUAGCCCAAUAUUAUAUUAAUAGAAAGGGUUAUUACUCCCUCAAUGUUCAGGUACGUAUGUUAAUGAUUAUACUAAGGAAGUUUUUCUUUUAUGUUAUAAAAUCUAAAGUCAGGAUUGUUGUAGGUGACCUGUGAUGCUAGUCUGCGCAUCAGAGACAUAGUUGCAAGGUGGCGAGGAAGCACUCAUGAUGCACGGAUAUUUAACGAAUCCGUCCUUAGAGAACGCUUUGAAGCAGGGGAGUUUAGAGGAAGAUUGCUAGGUGACUCUGGAUACAGACUAGAGCCAUAUUUGUUUACUCCGAUAUUAAAUCCACAUAACCAUGCUGAACAAAAUUAUAAUGAGGCACAUAUUGCAACAAGAAAUGUUGUAGAACGUUGUUUUGGUGUAUGGAAACAGCGCUUUCAAUGCCUGCUCCAUGGCAUGCCAAUGAAAUUUGGCAAUGUUAAAACUACUAUUGUGGCACUUGCAGUUUUGCACAAUAUUGCAAUUGUAUAUAAAGAUACAAAUGUGGUGGAGGACAAUUGUGAGCCCAGUACAGAAGAGCUACCAGAACAGCCCAGUAACAUGGACUCGAACCAUAGGCGAGGUAGAAAUGCUGCAAUCUUGCAAGCUUUUAUUGCAAGGCACUUCGAUGAAUAAACUUCUCCUCGCUUGCAGUUCCCUCCUGCAUUCCAUUUCACAAGCAGCAAUUAGUUCUGCAGGUGAACCAACUUGACUUGUG